UGCAUUCACUACUGUAAGUCGCUCUGGAUACGAGUGUCUGCUAAAUGACUAAAA
rfam:Salmo salar isolate Sally breed double haploid chromosome ssa14, whole genome shotgun sequence.